AUUGAACGCUGGCGGCAUGCUUUACACAUGCAAGUCGAACGGUAACAGGCCUUCGGGUGCUGAUGAGUGGCGAACGGGUGAGUAAUGCAUCGGAACGUACCCAGAGGUGGGGGAUAACGCAGCGAAAGCUGUGCUAAUACCGCAUGUGAUCUGAGGAUGAAAGCGGGGGACCGAGCAGCAAUGUUUGGCCUCGCGCCUUUGGAGCGGCCGAUGUCGGAUUAGCUAGUUGGUGGGGUAAAGGCCUACCAAGGCGACGAUCCAUAGCUGGUCUGAGAGGACGACCAGCCACACUGGGACUGAGACACGGCCCAGACUCCUACGGGAGGCAGCAGUGGGGAAUUUUGGACAAUGGGCGCAAGCCUGAUCCAGCAAUGCCGCGUGCGGGAAGAAGGCCUUCGGGUUGUAAACCGCUUUUGGCAGGAACGAAACGGUGUCCGCUAAUACCGGGCGCUAAUGACGGUACCUGCAGAAUAAGCACCGGCUAACUACGUG
rnacentral:rRNA from 1 species